rnacentral:rRNA from 1 species
AACGAACGUUAGCGGCGCGCUUAACACAUGCAAGUCGAGCGAGAAAGGGCUUCGGCCCCGGUAAAGCGGCGCACGGGUGAGUAACACGUAGGUAAUCUGCCCUCAGGUGGUGGAUAACUCUCCGAAAGGAAGGCUAAUACAGCAUGAGACCACGGUUCCGAAAGGGACAGGGGUCAAAGCCGGCCAAUUCAUGAAAGCUGGUGCCAGAGGAUGAGCCUGCGGCCCAUCAGCUAGUUGGUAGGGUAAUGGUCUACCAAGGCGAAGACGGGUAGCUGGUCUGAGAGGAUGAUCAGCCACACUGGAACUGAGACACGGUCCAGACUCCUACGGGAGGCAGCAGUGGGGAAUCUUGCGCAAUGGGCGAAAGCCUGACGCAGCGACGCCGCGUGAGUGAUGAAGGCCCUCGUGUUGUAAAGCUCUGUGGAGGGGGACGAAUAAGGGUUGGCUAAUAUCCAACUUGAUGACGGUACCCCUUUAGCAAGCACCGGCUAACUCUGUGCCAGCCGCCGCUGUAAAAC